GAUGAACGCUGGCGGCGUGCCUAAUACAUGCAAGUCGAGCGAACAGAUAAGGAGCUUGCUCCUUUGACGUUAGCGGCGGACGGGUGAGUAACACGUGGGUAACCUACCUAUAAGACCGGAAUAACUCCGGGAAACCGGGGCUAAUGCCGGAUAACAUUUAGAACCGCAUGGUUCUAAAGUGAAAGAUGGUUUUGCUAUCACUUAUAGAUGGACCCGCGCCGUAUUAGCUAGUUGGUAAGGUAACGGCUUACCAAGGCAACGAUACGUAGCCGACCUGAGAGGGGGGUCGGCCCAACGGGAACUGAGCCACGGUCCAAACCCCUACGGGAGGCACCAGGAGGGAAUUUGCCGCAAUGGGCGAAAGCCUGACGGAGCAACGCCGGGGGGGUGAUGAAGGGCUUCGGUUCGUAAAACUCUGUUAUUAGGGAAGAACAAAUGUGUAAGUAACUGUGCACGUCUUGCCGGUACCUAAGCAGAAAGCCACGGCUAACUACGG
rnacentral:rRNA from 1 species